UACGUAGGGGGCAAGCGUUGUCCGGAGUUACUGGGCGUAAAGCGCACGCAGGCGGUCUUUUAAGUUUGGAGUGACAGUUGGUGGCUUAACUGCCAAAGUGCUUCGAAAACUGAAAGACUUGAGGGCUUCAGAGGGACACGGAAUUCCGGGUGGAGUGGUGAAAUGCGUAGAUAUGCGGAGGAACACCGAUGGCGAAGGCAAUCCCCUGGGCCUGCACUGACGCUCAUGCACGAAAGCGUGGGGAGCAAACAGG
rnacentral:rRNA from 1 species